rnacentral:lncRNA from 1 species
AGUGGGAUCGAUGAUGGCCUUGAGCUUUCCAUUCUCUAAAUAAGGCCUAAUCAUUUCCAGGUUUUCUCCAGAAACAGUCAAGCUUGAAUAGACUGCCCUUGGGUGUGACGGAGGCCAGGUUAUGUCAAUAAUUGGAGCUUCAUCCUUGGCAACUACAAAGGAGUUCUUGCAGUCCCCUGAAGAAGUCAAGAGAAAACGUUGAAAUAGCAUCUAGAAGCAACAGUGUCAUUUUAGUAACUGAUCUUCCAGUGGUCAAAGUAAUCUCUAGAACCCACACAACCUCUUUCUUAUCCAUUCAAAAAACUACAUGGGAUUUCCAUUUGGCCCACCGUCAUUGGAGACAUAAGUUGAUUGCACAGACAUAAGACAUGAGUUGUCUAAGGUUCUUGGAAUUUUCAAGUCUCCUCAACUAACGGUGCUCAUACAAAAGAAGUACUCCACCACCAGUGAACGUGAUAAAUUUCAGAUGACAUGAAAUAUUCAAAAACUGGAACUGUCAUUUAGUAUGAAGAGAUUGCCUGAGCAGUAUGAAGUACUAAGGUAGAACUAGCAAAUGAGAAUUGGUUGUUCACGGAACUCACCGAUGGUAUCAUAAAGAAAGUCAAAUUUCUCCUUGAUUUCUUCAUAUUUGGUAUUUGUGUAGUCGAUAACUUUGUCGGCACCCAGUUUCUUGACAAACUCCACCUUUGCCGAGCUACAUGUUGCCACAACAUAGGAAGCAUUGUAAAAGUUCUUGGCCAGCUGAACAGCUAAAGUCCCAACACCACCUGCACCUCCAACGAUGAAAACUGUCUGUCCCUCUUUGAAAUCUGCUGUUACAAACCCUUCCAUUGCAGUCUGAACAGCUAAUGGCAAACUUGCGGCUUCCUCAAAUGACAGGUUCUGGGGUUUCAUUGCUACCAAGGUCUCCUCGACCGCAAUAAAUUCUGCCAGUGUCCCAAGUUGCUUCAGCUUUCCAGGAGCAUUGAAGUCCUGAAUAUUCCCAUAAACUGCAUCACCUAAAUCAAACUUGGUGACACCAGUGCCUUUCGCCACCACCACACCCGCCAUGUCACAGCCUGGAACCACCUGCAUCCCAUAUCAAGCAAUGAAUCUAGAUUCACAACACUGCUUGUUCUAGGGUACUGAUCUGUUCAGGACUUUUGUCGAGUAUGAAUAUUCAUCACUAGUUUUACUAGAAAAAUCAACCUAAAGGCGAACUCGUUAACAAGCGCUGCCUGAUUUACAAUAACUAAUAUAGAAGUGUCCAAACAAUAUGCUGUUUUCAUUCCACAAGCAAAUUUCCGACUCUCUGGUAAACUAAUAAAUUCAAAAUUAGUCACAAUCAACCUACAUGCACAUAAAACUAGCCAGCUUAACAGGAAUGCCGCCAACAAAGUACUAGAGCAAAGUGUGGCCAGAGCCAGCAAGAAAGGAAAACAAUAGCGCAUCAGUAAGUAUGAGAGAGAACCACAUAAAAAUAAUCUCUCUUUGCUUUACUCCCUUUCUCUCUCACAACAUGAUCAAUCAUCUUACUCACAGGAAAGUCUGAAGGAAAGAUGGGACGCUGGCGUCUUUUAAAAUCGAUAGGAUUCAAAGCAGCAGCUCGAACUUGGACAAUUAUUUGAUUAUGUUGGGGAGUAGGAAAAGGGAAGUCCCCCAGCUUGAGAACUUCCUUACUUCCAUACUCUUCAUAAAACCAAGCUUUC